AACGAACGCUGGCGGCAUGCCUAACACAUGCAAGUCGAACGAGACCUUCGGGUCUAGUGGCGCACGGGUGCGUAACGCGUGGGAACCUGCCCUUAGGUUCGGAAUAACUCCCCGAAAGGGGUGCUAAUACCGGAUAAUGUCUUCGGACCAAAGAUUUAUCGCCUUUGGAUGGGCCCGCGUUGGAUUAGCUGGUUGGUAGGGUAAAAGCCUACCAAGGCGACGAUCCAUAGCUGGUCUGAGAGGAUGAUCAGCCACACUGGGACUGAGACACGGCCCAGACUCCUACGGGAGGCAGCAGUGGGGAAUAUUGGACGGUGGGCGAAAGCCGGAUCCAGCAAUGCCGCGUGAGUGAUGAAGGCCUGAGGGUUGUAAAGCUCUUUUACCCGGGAUGAUAAUGACAGUACCGGGAGAAUAAGCGCCGGCUAACGCCG
rnacentral:rRNA from 1 species